rnacentral:rRNA from 1 species
GACGAACGCUGGCGGCGUGCUUAACACAUGCAAGUCGAACGAUGAACUUGGAGCUUGCUCUGGGGGAUUAGUGGCGAACGGGUGAGUAACACGUGAGUAACCUGCCCUGGACUCUGGGAUAACUUCGAGAAAUCGGAGCUAAUACCGGAUAGGACCUUGCACCGCAUGGUGUGGGGUGGAAAGUUUUUCGGUUUGGGAUGGACUCGCGGCCUAUCAGCUUGUGGGUGAGGUAAUGGCUCACCAAGGCGUCGACGGGUUGCCGGCCUGAGAGGGUGACCGGCCACACUGGAACUGAGACACGGCCCAGACUCCUACGGGAGGCAGCAGUGGGGAAUAUUGCACAAUGGGCGCGAGCCUGAUGCAGCAACGCCGCGUGCGGGAUGACGGCCUUCGGGUUGUAAACCGCUUUUAGUAGGGAAGAAGCCUUCGGGUGACGGUACCUGCAGAAAAAGGACCGGCUAACUACGUGCCAGCAGCCGCCGUAAGAC